CCUUAGUGGCAGCAGCCUCAAGCAAAUGAGACAGUCCCCCUGGGAAGGAUGGCAGUGGAGAGCUUCUCUUCGGCAUGUCAUAUUACAUCUGCUGGUACUUUGUGACAGAUGAUGCCACAAAUAUUACUUAUUUCUUCAUCCCAUCCUCUCCAACCAUUUGAUUUCAUCGUGCUUGCACAAAGACGAGGAAUAGCAGAGGACAAAGGGGAGGGAUGGAGGUUCAGGCCAUGAAGUAACAAUGGGCUUGGAUUAUGGAGCAGAGCCAACAGAGGGAGGAGGAGCCAGGAGAGGUCCAUUUUAUACACUAAAUUGUAUUUAAUUUACAAAGCCUUUCACCCACAUAAUCUGUAAAAAAAUAUUAGUUCACUGUCUGGCGAUGUGUU